CUGAUUCUAAUUCUCUUUAGUUAUCUCUCUCUCUCUCUCUUCGUCCGCUGUUGAUGUUGGGUCUAGGCUUGAGUUCAUCGAGUUCUCUUUUCAUCGUCGUUGCGUGACUCCGUUUUUCUAAAGUUUUGUGCGUCACUCUCUGGUAUAUGAUUAAACUCUCUGGUUCCAAGCAAGGACUACGAUUCUUCUGAUAUACCCGUAGCCUUUGUCUUUUCUUAUUGUUUUUUUUUUGAGAUUUGAUUCUGUUUCGUUGGGGACUUGGUUAUCAGACAUAUUCGACUUACUUUCUCCUUCAACUCUGUUUAUUGUUAUUGCUUUGUGUCCAACGGCGCACGAAGACGCACACAGUGGAUUCGGUCUCUUGUACGCGAAUGUUAUCGUCACCCCCAAUUGGAACCUAGAGACUUGUUGUUAUUAUUAGUUGCCUCCUCAAGACUUGUGCGUAUCACUCACUAUCUGCUAUCCUUUAAGUUCUCGAUGCAGGUUAUCUGUUAAAAUUCAUCCCUAUGGUUUGUGGCAGCUUAUGGUAAGUGGUAAGAACUGCUACUUGAAAGAUCCUCAGGUGAUCUGUAUGGGAACAACAACUCAAAGGUCUGUAUCACGAACGAGAAUCUAUCAUGGUUAUCUGGAUGAGGGAGGUAAAGGCACAUCCCAAAGUGUUGAAGCUUGUUCGAACUCAUUGCCAUCAGCCCAUCACCAUUACUAAAGUGGGUAUAUUCAGAGAUAAUGCAGUCUUAUGGUGUAUUUGUUUGAUCAACUUCGGCCUCAAAGCGUUGGGUUUCAGUGGUGUAUCUACGUAGCAGCAGAAUGGUCCCAAGAUUUUCUCAGUUGCCAAAUCUUGAUUGAGGAUUGUUUGAUAGCAUAUCACAUAAAGGAGUGAGAUUAUGAUGGAAUCUCUUUUUGCUCUCUCAAUCACAACAAAAAAAUGUGGAAGCGUCAGGAAUUGCUGGGUAAGCAUGUCAAUGUUGAUUCUCAGCGGGACUUGUGAUUGGUACAUCGCAAGAAAACACACAGCAGUUUCGUCUCUUCUCUUCUGUUCGUGGUGUGUUAUAUCUUCUACGGUUAUUGUUAGAAUUCAUCCAUCUGGAUUUUGGGAGCUUCAAGAAUUGCUGAUAAAUGGUAUAUCUGUACGUAGCUAGCUACCGGGAACAAGAACUCAAAGUUACGUAUCAAGAACGAGAAUCUAUCAUGGUUUAUGGAUGAGGGAGGUAAAGGCACAUCCCAAAGUGUUGAAGCUUGUUUGAACUCAUUGCCAUCACCAU